AUUGGAGUGCAGUGGUGUGAUCACAGCUCACCGCAGCCUUGACCUCCUGGGUUCAAGCAAUCCUCCCACCUCAGCCCCCAAAGUAGUUGGGACUACAGGCUCAAGCCACCACACCCAGCUAAUUUUUUAAAAAACUUUCAAAAAAACAAAAACAAAACAAAAAUCUUAGAUUUGGGAAGGCAAAGAUUUUCUGGUGUCCCUGGAGCUGAGGGCUGUCACUUGGAGGUCUGGGGGUUGCUAUGGGCCAAGAACAGGGUCUCUACAGGCCUCGGAAGGCAGGAGGGGGGCCAGUGUGUACGUGCAGGGGAUUCUCUCUCAGCCACCCUGUGAAAAGCCGAUCACCACCCCCUCAACUCACCAGCCAUUUCCUCCUGGGAGAAAUUUUGAAUGAGAACAUCCUACAAGGAUUUUUUUGCUU
rnacentral:lncRNA from 1 species